GAUUAAGGAAAAAUAAAAUGCCAUAAGAUUUGCUCUUCUUACCAAAAUUCCACCAUUUAUCUUAAAUAAACAAUUCUUGGAUUGUUGUAAGCCUUUAGUUAAUUUCCAGAGUUUUAAAAGAGACAAUUUGACAGUUUUUGCCAGUGUUAUCAUCGCUUUCAUGCAGAAGCUAUUUUGGGAGUUCUUUAUUCUACUGUUCCAAAUAUUAAGCUGUGUUCUUUAAAAAAUAAUUAAAUAGUACAUAUAUAAAAAAAGAGUAUCGUAAAUAAGAUUUCUACCCUUAAGUGCAUUUUUCCCCUAAUCCCAACCAGAAUAUUAAUUAGUAUUAGUGAUUACUGUGUAUUCUUCAUAUAUAUAUACUAGAGAAGCAUGUAUGUGUGUAGAGAUCUAUGUUUCCUUUUGUACAUACAGAAAUUUACUAUAUACUCAUAUUCUGUAUGUUUUUUUUCACUUGGUAAUUUACCUUAGAUAUUGGUCCAUACUAAUCCAUAUUGAAGUUAUCUCAGCCUCUUAUUAUUGUUGUUGUAGUUGUUUGGUAUUCUAUAAUGGAUAGUCCAUUAUUUGCACAUUUUCUAGUAGCAAAUAUUUGAGUUGGUCUAUGCUUUGUUAUUUCAAACAAUAAUGAAGUGAACCUUAUUGCAUUCACAUCUUUUUGACCAUAUAUUACUAUAGGAUAAAUUCCUUAUUUUUUGUUGCUUUUCUCAUAAAUUUAGUUUACAGUUUUACUUUGUAUUAGAGACAUCGCUCCUUUAUUUGGCAACUUGUGAGUUAUUAUUUAUGGCUAGCAAUUCUUCCUGUUCACCUUCUUGCAAUGGAAGUGGGGGUUGUUUUAAGUUACAACCUGGAAAUUGUAGGAAACGGGGAAAGAGAGGAAGUUGAGCUAUAAUAAGUAGAUACGAAAGCAUUCCCUACUCAUGGCUUAAAAUGUUUUGCCCUCAGGUAUUUCUACUGCUGAAAAAAUUAGUUGGGAAAACUAGCUCUUCUAAAAUACAGUAAAACCUGUGAAAAGUGUAGUCCUUGCUUAACACUUAAGAUGAAUUACUAACAUUUUUCAUUCAAAUAGCUUGGGUUUUUAUUGUAUAUGUAUAUUUAGAGGCCAAAGCACAUUCCAAGACAGGGUAAAAGUCUUUGUAAAUUCGAAGGGCAAGGAAUGAAGAAAUGAAGGCUAACAAAAAGAUACUUUUACUUUUAACAGAAAGUAAGUACAUUUCAGGACCAUACUAUUAUGCUGCUAAAUAUUAUUGCCUAGACUGAGGAUAAGUGAAGAUUAUUUUUAUGAUCUGCAAGAUAAAUUUUUUUAAGUUCAAUCUAAAUUUUCCUGCCAGAUAGUGAAAUCCAAUUUAGUAUUUCCCAGUCAGCCUAGUAUCUCUUUCCUUCUUUUUCUAUUGGUAAAAGAAAUAAAAAGAAAUGGAAAACAUAUGUCUCCAUUCCAUUUUUUGAUAGCUAGGGGCCAAAUCGGAGCUGUAGCCACCAGCCUACACCAGAGCCACAGCAACACGGGAUCCAAGCCACGUCUCCAACCUACACCACAGCUCACGGCAACGCCAGAUCGUUAACCCACUGAGCAAGGGCAGGGAUCGAACUCGCAACUUCAUGGUUCCUAGUCGGAUUCGUUAACCACUGCGCCACGACAGGAACUCCAGUAUUGGAUUUUGAAUCUCAGUUGAUCUGCAUUAUAUCAGUUCUUUAAGAACUGCAAAGGACUUAAUACUCUCUCCCACCUCUUACCUUCUAUGGUAUUUUAUUUGUACCUCUGCUUUUGUGGUGAUUUUUUUUUACACUGAUAUCCUCAACUCUUUGUUCUUAAAACACCCAGGAGCACCUGAAAGUGGUCUUUUACAUACCAGGUUUUCAAAAUAUUACUGUAUUGAAUUAAGACAGAAGACUUAGUUAUUUUCUUUAAUGUUAGUUUAAUAGAGGAGCUGUGAUGUAUAUGUAAUGCUAACAACAUGGAAUUCUAAAUAAUAAACAUAACUCCAAUUAUGUAAAUGAGAGAUACCUACAUUGGAGUUAAUAAGUUAUUUGUAGCUUUAAGAGCCAGAAAGAGCCAGAUUUUAUUAACAAUCUAUGGAAUGUUUUUGGUAGGUUAGCAUUUGUUAUUUCUUCCAAGAUAUAUUUUAAUCAUAAUAUUUAAAUUUGAGUGUGAACCCUAGUGAUACCUAUUUAUUCCCAUAGUCUGUCUGAAGAAGUAAGCAAUACCAGAUCUAAUCUCUAUUUUUGAAGCAAGGAAGAGAGGGAAGAAAGGAAAGAAGAUAGGUAAGUAGGUGAGCAUGGAGGAGAAUUUAAAAUGCUUAUCCUGGUGUUCCCGUUAUGCCACAGUGGAAAUGAAUCCAACUAGGAAUCAUGAGGUUACUGCUUUGAUCCCUGGCUUUGCUCAGUGGGUUAAGGAUCUGGCAUUACCAUGAGCUGUGAUGUUAAGUCCGCAGACGCGGCUCAGAUUUGGUGGUGCUGUGGCUCUGGCAUCAGCUGGCAACUGUAGCUCUGAUUUGACCCAUAGCCUGGGACCCUCCAUAUGCUGUGGGUGUGGCCCUAAAAAGAAAAAUCAAGAUGCCUAUCCUGUAUAAUUUUGUCCCCUCAGAAAAUCUUACAGGGGUGGGGUUAGAAGUAGAAGACCUGGAAGGUCAGGUUCUUAUGAAACCACAAAGCAGCACACCUACUUGGAAAACCAGUUUGUGCUGAGCAGGAACAUGCAACUGGGACUGAGCUGGGGUGGAUUCUUUCAAUUUCUUUCAGUUUCUUUCCCUUUGCGUGUUUUCCACCCUAUCAGUCAUUUCAAAGGCACAUGGAUUUAAAUAGUGACAGACACAUUUGAUACUUUACCCUUUAGCCCAGUAGAGUGUGUCUACUUUCCUCACAAUAAUGAGGAAUUUGCAAUAUCACAAGAUCUAAAAACAUUUAUAGGAUAAAAGCCAGGCUUAUAAACCUUGUUUUACUGUAUGCUAUUAUUGUGCUAUGUUAAAUGGAUAUACUCUGUUUUUUCCCUAGAGGAAAUCGUAGUUUGAAUUCUAACUAAUAAGUAUUUAAUUGAAAAGAUGUGUUUGAAAUGGAUUUCAUAGAUAUUUUUCUGGAAUGGGCUAGCACUUAGGAGAAGUUAGACUUUAAUUUCUUCCUUCCAUUUUCCAUAUAUAGUAUGUUAUAUACCUUCUACUUUUCAUAAUAUAUAAUGUGAUCAAAAUUUGGUAUUAUACUAAUAUAAUUUGUUGAAGUGAAUUUGACCUGAUUUGAAUUAAAAGCUCUUUGGAAAUGAAUAUGUUAGGAACUAGAAAUGUUCCUAUAGGUGUUCCUGGAUACUGUACUAGUUCUCUCAUAGACUUUUUGCAUUAUUCCAUCAAAUAGGAAAUAACUGAAACCCCUCAAGCCCAAGUUAUACUUUUUUUGGGGGGGGAGGCGGUAAUUUACUGUUUUGGAAUUGAAAAUGCAUUUCUUCCUUUGAAACCCAUGUAGUACAUUGAGCGAGGUUCCUAGGACAGAAUUUCCAGAGAUCUUUUCAUCCUAAAAUGGGAGGCCUUGUCUGAUUUCUGGAUCAUUGUUGACAACUACAUAACUGGAAAUGAGAAGAAGCCCUAGAAAAGAGAAUUCCAGAGGGAUUUCACCUUACAAUAUUGCUGAAUUAAUGAUACUUUGAAAAAAGCACACGUUGCUAAAGCAGAUCUUAAUUAAUAUGUUCCUGUACCAUCAUCAUAAUGAUAUGUAAAAGUUUUUUUCCUAUAACUCUUUCUUAAUCUCAACCUUUUGCCACUAACUUUUUUUUUUUUUUUUUUUUUGGUCUCAAUUACCUCACUUAUUUCCAUUUUAAUAUAUAGUACUGGUAUUUUUAUAUGCUAUCAAUCGCUUUGUAAUAAAACAGAAAUAAUUUUUAAAAGUAUCACGUUUAAGAUGUAUUACAAACCACUAACAGAGCAAUUGGGAAAGAUGGAAUAGAGCACUAGACUUGGGCUCAGGUUCUAGCACCACAAUUUUCCAAUUCAGGGCAAAACUUUGGCCUCUCUCAAGAGACUAUUUUUCUCAUAUACUCUAAGAUCUUAAUGCUGAUUAAGUCAUGUUAUAUUUGGGAAAGUAUAUGGUAUAAACUAGAAAGAUAAUUACAUAUUAGUUGAAUCUAUAUCAGGUUUUCAUAGGUUAGGGAAAAUAUAUUGUGGUUUUUCUUCCUUUUUAAAUCUGUUAUUCCUGUGACCGAAUUGUUACAGUUUGGUGCAUUCACUAGGAAUGAGUCUAGGCAUUCUGGAUUUUGAGCAUUUGUGAAAAAUCUAAUGAAUGCCACAUCGGUGCUGUGCCCAGAGAGCUUCCUCUAGAGAAGGCUUAUCCCUUGAACUUCCAUGUUGCAUCAGUGCCAGUAGACAGAACCUAUGACAAGAGGAAGCCUUCUCCAAGCCUCCAAAGCAGCACCCUGAAACAUAUAUUCUUAUAGACUUUGUGCUAUAUAGUAUUGAUUUGUCAUGGUUUUCCUUCAAAAGCCAUUUUAUUCUUAACACAAUUAAACAACAGUGCAAUUGUGAGAAUAUAACUAUACUCACUGUAUUUCUUGUUACAAAUGGGCCUUUCCCUGAGGUGGGUCUAGGCUCUUUUAUGGAGACCUGCCAUCUUCAUGUUGGCCUUUGUUCUGAGCCAGCUUUUUCUAAAGACUGGAACUUCCUUCAGUCUGUUUCAUAUCCAAGCCAAAAAACUCUGUACCCAUGAACUCUAUUAAUGAAGCUGUAUUAUACUGUGAUUGGAAACCUUUUUGGGAGUUCCCUUGUGGCUCAGCAGAAACUAAUCUGACUAGCAUCCUUCAGAAUGCAGGUUCACUCCUUGGCCCCGCUCAGUGGAUUAAGGAUCCGGCUUUGCUGUGAACUGUGGUGUAGAUCACAGAUGGGGCUCAGAUCCUCCGUUGGUGUGGCUAUGGCGUAGGCCUGCAGCUAUAGCUCCAAUUUGACCCUUAUUCUGGGAACCUCCACAUGCCAUGGGUGUGGCCCUAAAAAGACAAAAAAAACAAAAAGAGAGAGAGAGAAUUGAAGCAUGCUCGUGUUGGGAGAUGGUGCCGUGCUAAUAAUACUUCCUACAAGUACUGUAUAUGUGAAUAAGGUAUUAUGUUGUGGAACUCAAAUGAAAACUCUGCGGAUUAUGUAAAAACUAUGUUAACAAUAUCUUUAAGUUAUUUGAGAAAAUGAGGAGACCUAGAUCACAGCCCUUAUAUCACUGUUAUGACCUUCAUUUGGCAAGUCACCCUUUUAGAUCUGUUUGCUUGAAAAUGAAGUAACAUCUGGGAAAUUGCUAAGGCUUUUUCCAGUGUAAAUUUCUAUUACUCUUUUUAUUAAAAUUUGAGGUGAUAAAAACUUGGUCAUACUGUACAUAAAUGAUUGUUUUACUCAAGAGUUAUUAAUAGUGUAUAAUUUUACAUUGCAGACUUGUCUUCUAAAAAUAGACAAAAGUAUAAUUGUAUUUUUCCCUAAGUGUUUAUUGCUUUAUAUGCUGUAUUUCUUGAUCAGACUUCUUCAUUUUGAGAAGGAAAAUAUUUUUCUAAGGAGAAUCUCUUAUCCUUUUUAUUUCCUACUAGCUCUUCCCCACCCCCACCACCCAAAGAUAACCUCCCCCUGCAUCCAUACUUGAAAAGUAAGUCUCGGAGUUCCCAUCAUGGCUCAGUGGUUAACGAAUCUGACUAGGAACCAUGAGGUUGCGGGUUCAAUCCCUGGCCUUGCUCAGUGGGUUAGGGAUCUGGUGUUGCAGUGAGCUGUGGAGUAGGUCACGGACGUGGCUCGGAUCCCUGGGUUGUUGUGGCUGUGGUGUAGGCCGGUGGCUACAGCUCCAAUUUGGCCCGUAGCCUGUGAACCUCCAUAUGCCGCGGGAGCGGCCCAAGAAAUGGCAAAAAGACAAAAAGACAAAAAAAAAAAGUAAGCCUGACAACCACAAAACCAACAAAGUCUGGGACAUUAUUCUCUGCAGUGAAGAUAGACCAAUGCUUGGCAACUGUGUUGUAAAAAUAUAAUUCAGAGGGAGUAAAUUCAUGCAAAACUGUCACAAAUAGUAUGAUUUAUAGCAUAGCACAGUCAAAAGGGAAAUGUCAUUUCUUCACUUUCAUACACACAUGCGUGCAUACACACACGCGGACACACACCAACACACACACACACACACACACUUGCUUUCCACCAUUUUUGCCUCUGUUCUCCUUAAAAAAAAAUUUACAGGAGUUCCCAUCAUGAUUCAGUGGUUAAUGAAUCUGACUAGCAUCCAUGAGUACAAAGGUUCAAUCCCUGGCCUUGCUCAGUGGGUUAAGGAUCUGAUGUUGCCAUGAGCUGUGGUGUGGGUUGUAGACAUGGCUUGGAUCCUGCAUUGCUGUGACUGUGGCUGGCAGCUACAGCUUCGAUUUGACCCCUAGCCUAUGGACCUCCAUAUGCCACCAGUGCAGCCCUAAAAAG
rnacentral:lncRNA from 1 species